rnacentral:rRNA from 1 species
UACGUAGGGGGCAAGCGUUGUCCGGAUUUAUUGGGCGUAAAGAGCGUGUAGGCGGCCAGACAGGUCCGUUGUGAAAACUCGAGCUCAACCUCGAGACGCCGAUGGAAACCGUUUGGCUAGAGUCCGGAAGAGGAGAGUGGAAUUCUUGGUGUAGCGGUGAAAUGCGUAGAUAUCAAGAGGAACACCUGAGGUGAAGACGGGUUGCUGGGCCAACACUGACGCUGAGGCGCGAAAGCCAGGGGAGCAAACGGG